rnacentral:rRNA from 1 species
GAUGAACGCUGGCGGCGUGCUUAACACAUGCAAGUCGAACGGAAAGGCCAGUUCUUGCCCUGGUGCUCGAGUGGCGAACGGGUGAGUAACACGUGGGUGAUCUGCCCUGCACUUUGGGAUAAGCCUGGGAAACUGGGUCUAAUACCAGAUAGGACCAUGCUUUGGAUGGUGUGGUGGAAAGUUUUUUCGGUGUGGGGUGAGCUUGCGGCCUAUCAGCUUGUUGGUGGGGUAAUGGCCUACCAAGGCGUCGACGGGUAGCCGGGCUGAGAGGGUGUACGGCCAAAUUGGGACUGAGAGACGGCCCAGACUCCGACGGGAGGCAGCAGUGGGGAAUAUUGCAAAAUGGGCGCAAGCCUGAUGCAGCGACGCCGCGUGGGGGAUGACGGCCUUCGGGUUGUAAAAUACUUUCGCAACUGACGAAGCUUUUUGUGACGGUAGGUUGAGAAGAAGCACCGGCUAACUACGUG